GCAUCUACCGAUUGAAUGGAGAGGUAAAAUCUCCGGACUAUGACGCGUUGAGGUCAAACCUAAUGCAGUCGUGGGAAGUGGAUUAAACCUUUCCAUUUAGAGGAAGAUGAAGUCGUAACAAGGUUUCCGUAGGUGAACCUGCAGAAGGAUCAAGAUCGGAAGAGGGUCGUUGAGGGAAAGUGUGUAGUUCUCGGCGGUCGCCGGAGCAUCAAUAAGACAAUGUGAAAAUUUUGCUCCCCACGUUCCGACCCAUUCUUGUUCUUACCUGCUUCUUGUU
rnacentral:misc_RNA from 1 species